rnacentral:rRNA from 1 species
AUUGAACGCUGGCGGCAUGCCUUACACAUGCAAGUCGAACGGCAGCACGGGAGCAAUCCUGGUGGCGAGUGGCGAACGGGUGAGUAAUAUAUCGGAACGUGCCCAGUCGUGGGGGAUAACGUAGCGAAAGCUACGCUAAUACCGCAUACGAUCUAUGGAUGAAAGCGGGGGAUCGCAAGACCUCGCGCGAUUGGAGCGGCCGAUAUCAGAUUAGGUAGUUGGGGAGGGAAAGGCUCACCAAGCCGACGAUCUGUAGCUGGUCUGAGAGGACGACCAGCCACACUGGGACUGAGACACGGCCCAGACUCCUACGGGAGGCAGCAGUGGGGAAUUUUGGACAAUGGGCGCAAGCCUGAUCCAGCAAUGCCGCGUGCAGGAUGAAGGCCUUCGGGUUGUAAACUGCUUUUGUACGGAACGAAACGGCGAGCUCUAAUACAGUUUGCUAAUGACGGUACCGUAAGAAUAAGCACCGGCUAACUACGUGCCAGCCGCCGCCGUAACAC